rnacentral:rRNA from 1 species
CUAUAUCCUACGGGGCGCAGCAGUGGGGAAUAUUGCACAAUGGGCGCAAGCCUGAUGCAGCCAUGCCGCGUGUGUGAAGAAGGCCUUCGGGUUGUAAAGCACUUUCAGCGAGGAGGAAGGUGGUGAGCUUAAUACGUUCAUCAAUUGACGUUACUCGCAGAAGAAGCACCGGCUAACUCCGUGCCAGCAGCCGCGGUAAUACGGAGGGUGCAAGCGUUAAUCGGAAUUACUGGGCGUAAAGCGCACGCAGGCGGUUGUUAAGUCAGAUGUGAAAUCCCCGGGCUCAACCUGGGAACUGCAUUUGAAACUGGCAAGCUAGAGUCUCGUAGAGGGGGUAGAAUUCCAGGUGUAGCGGUGGAAAUAGCGUAGAUAUAUAG